UCUAGCACCUACGUAUUAAGUACCUACGUCGUUUUAUUUGCUAGUUUGCUACACAAAACUCGCAGAAUUUUUCUAUUGUAAAAUAUCGAGCAAAAAAUUGUGGAUUUUUAAUGAUAGUCGAUGUUUAUGGUUUCUCGUAGAGCACCGUACUUUUGUUUGGAAGAUUGUAAUAUUACAAUAAGUAGAUCCCUACCUACCUUACAAGUUCUUUACACAGAGAAAAUUACUUUUUAAUUAGAAAGAAAUGGAUAUUCGCGUUUUAGUAACUUGUUUGCUAGGUUUUUCGGUUAUAUCAUUCGUAAGUUCAGCAAAUAAAGUACGAAUUACUAAGCAAGAUUUUACUGACCUUGGCGGAAGCGACAUUUGUGGGUGGACCGCGGCACAAAAAGCCUCGACUUGUGGAAGAAUACCAGGAAUUGGUGAUCACCCAACAGGCGAUUGUCAAAAUACGAAAAUUCAAUUCACCGAUGGGGAUGCGUUUUAUGAUAUAUUAAUAUGCGAAGAUGAUGGAGGAACUAUCUUUGGAUGCGCUUACAGCGCUCACGGUGGCUAUGUACUUGUUGAUUAUGUUGCCGCAUUUAAGGCUUGUACAUGAUUCAUGGUAACUUGGCGUGUAGGUAGAGGUACCUAGGUAAUUUUCUUCAAAUCAAUUUCAAACUUUUUUUCCCAUAUCAGAUUUCAAAACUUCCUCUGUUUUCCCAUAUUUUCUGAAUUGCAAUUAAAACCUGUUGUUGUAAAUACCUAACUUGUCGCCACCACAGCUUUUAUUGUCGUUUGCUGGUGUCGCUCAAAUGCCCUUUUCUGUCCUGCAAUUAUAUUAUAUUUCCCAUUAAAAAUGCUUCUUUUUUAGUGAAAUAAGUAUUUUUGGAAAAAUUCACGUAGCACCAUAGUAUCUAUUCAUUGUGGGGAGUACAAAACCAAAUUCAUUAAACCUUUUUUCAAUGUUUUAUUUACUUCCGAAAAAAGGUACUAUUCUAAAAAAUAACACACAAAAGUUCUUCGAUUUCAUAAACUUUUGAUAGGUACACCCCAUAUCCAUAUACAUAGUAUAUAUAUAUUUUUAAUUAUGUACGUUGCUAUUUUGUUUUGUAAUGAUAGAUCUUGGUUUUUUCCUGUCUAGUGACCAACAGGUUUUUUUCACUGAGAUCUGUCAAUCUAGGCUACCUACCUAUUAAAAUAACCUAUACCUAUUUUUCGUUUGUUUUGGGCAUAUUUUUUUGUAAUAAAUAACGAUUUUUUUCAACAUGA